rnacentral:misc_RNA from 1 species
AAGGAGCAUCUCCCCACACACCCCGAAGAGUCGGGGAGCGUGUGAGGGCAGAGCCAUUUCGGAUUCACAUGUAAUCCGGUGGUGCUCAUGGGUGGAACACUGACAAGUAUUCUUCUUCACUACUGCCGGCCCGAGUGCUGGUGGGAAGAGAGUUAUAUCGGCAUACUGUUGGGUCCUGAGAGAACACGUGAGUGAUCUUUCAAGGAAGAAACGACGAGCGGGAAACGCAGGUCAUACCGCAGCGGGAACUUCGGUUCUGGUUGGUCCGGUGUCUGCACGGGUUUUCUGUUUGUGUGUUGUUUGAGAACUGCACAGUGGACGCGAGCAUCUUUGUU